ensembl:lncRNA
GGUUCAAUAAAAUCUAUAGAACAUCUGAUUUGAUUAUGUUAUAGAACUAUUUAAUCAACAAAACUAUCUUUCCUGUUCCACAAAUGUUGAUGCUAUAGAAUCUCAUGCCAUGACCCUCACAAGUAGAAUGUUCAUGAUCAAUCUUUCUGCCUUUUACAUUUCGAUGGAUAAAAACUCAAUUGGAGAAUCUAACAGUGACAAUGGGAUCACACUGCCCCUUAGACAUUAUGAUGGAAACAAUGGGCUGUUCUGCUCUCUCUGGUCUUCCUCCCCUGAGUGAAACAGAGACUGUAAACACACAGGUUCUGAUGAGAUAAACAAUGUGGUCCCCUCUGCCAUAGAUUCUCUCUCUCUCUCCCUCUCUCUCUCCCCACCCCCAGGCUUGGCAAGUAGUCAGAGACAUCCCUGGAAUUCUCUAAAGCCACCCACUUGGCCAGGGCCAUUCACCCUCGCUCCCCUUUAUCUUUUGUGUGCACUGUCACCACUCCUUCUCCCAAGGCCCAGAGAGGGGGAGCCAUUCAUCCCUAAUGAACUUCUGAAAUCAUGCAAACAGCCUCGUUUAAUGGAGAAAUGGGGGAAGCAGUUGUGUUGUAUUUUUUUUUUUCAGUUGGAGAAAGGGGUGCAGCUUAGGGAAAGCCAGUUAAAACAGCAAUGUUUUAUAUCCCUGUUUUAGGGUGAGAACACCUCAAGCAGCAAACAGAAUGAAAAAUAGGUCAACUAUCAUAUCGAGGAUUUAUUCGCAGUGGUGUAAGGCACUUGAGUAAAAAAUAAUAUUUUUUUAUUUACAAUGACAGCCCCCCCCGGCCAAACCCUCCACUAACCCAGACAACGCUGGGCCAAUUGUGCGCCGCCCUAUGGGACUCCCGAUCACGGAUGGUUGUGACACAUACUGGGAACAAGCCAGGGUCUUGUGGUGACGCCUCUAACAGUGCCUUAGACCGCUGUGCCGCUCGGGAUGCCUCAAAGAGGAUCAUAUAUUUGGGAAGUGAUUCUGGUAACACUUUAUUUGGAUAGUCUGUAGAGCAUCUACAGAUGGACUAUCUACAGACGAUCAGUAACAUUUCAACUACUGUAACUAUCUCCUAAACCUAACCCCCACCCUAGCUCUAAUCCUAACCUUAAACCUUAUCCAAAUCCUAAAUUUAACCCUUACCCUAACCCAUAUUCUAAACCUGACCCUAACCGUAAACUUAGCAAGCAGUUGCAUAACCGACAGAUAGUUUGUUGAUAGUAUGACCAUCUUUAGAGCAUCUACAGAUGGGAAAUCCGGACUGUCCAAAUGAAGUGUGACCCUGAUGUAUUUAUCCAUACACAACCACUCAUUCAGAAUAGGCCAAGGCGGGAGCCUGUUGCAGAUAUCCGCUUACAACAAAGGAGUAGAAAAAAAACACAACAACAAAGGAGUAGAAAAAAAACACAACAACAAAGGAGUAGAAAAAAAACACAACAACAAAGGAUAGAAAAAAAAACACAACAACAAAGGAGUAGAAAAA